GGGAAAUGGUCCCCUGGAUCCCCUUUGACCAUGAUACCAUAAUGACAUGACAAAUGUACAAUCCCCAGCACCACCAAGAUGGCAGACGACCAUGUUCAAAGCUCCGGUCGAAUGCAGGCCUACAGCGAUGCCAUCUUUUCAAUCGUGGCAACCAUCAUGAUCCUGCCAGUAGCCCACACUGAGAUACCAAAAGACAAGAACUUAAGGGAGGUUAUCUUCUACCAGCUUCUACCCAAGAUUCUCAUCUACAUUUUGUCAUUCUUUGUGGUGGCCAUAUCAUGGUCUGCACAUGUUUGGUUGUUCCAGAUCAUACGACAUGCGGAUGAUGUAACCACACUGCUCAAUCUGCUCAUCAUGAUGAUCAUCACAUUUCUACCUUUUACUUUUACAUUAAUGGGAACAUUUCCUGAAUUUGUCUUGGCCAUUGUGCUGUUCAGUGUGUGUAUCAUUGUCCUGGGCCUGGUACAGGCCUUAGUAGUGCUGCAUGUGUUUCGCAACCCUCAAACCAUGGAGGAGUCAAUCAGGAACUCAGAGAACAUGACUGCUGUGAGGAAUGCACUUCUGCUACGUGUCCUGGUAAAUGCCAUCCUCUGUACAUUUGCUGCUGUGUUUGCUCCUGUCACCUCUGUUAUAUCUUAUGUGUUCCUGGUGAUGAUCCUGUUCAGCCCUAACAUCGCUGUCCAGCUGUCCAAGCUCAUCAGCAAAUGCUCAGGAGGAAGGUUCCAAAUGUCUCAAGAAGUUGUCCGGAGGGGGAAAUCUUACGAGAUGGAAGUCAAUAAGGAAAGAGUGGAAUGUUACAGUGAUGGUGUGUUUGCCAUCGUGGCCACUUUAAUCAUCCUGGAUAUCUGUGAAAAAGACAUUCCCUCUCGAACGGCAUUGAAGUACGAGUACAAGAAUGACCUGGUGGCUGCCCUGGACCAUGAUAGCUCGGUCUUUCUGGCAUACUUUGGCACGUUUGCUACCGUGGGAUUACUGUGGUAUAUUCACCACUCACUCUAUCAUCACCUGCAGAGAACAAGUCGACUGAUGACUAUGUUUAAUAAUUUUUCCCUGGCUAUGAUUGGAGGGAUGCCUCUGGCGUUCAAGCUUACAAGCUUGUACAAUGACACAGAUUUCUACAACAAUGAGAGAGUAGCCAUCCAGUUGUCUUGUGUCAUCAUGUUUCUUGCUAGCAUCUCACAACUGGCCAUCUUCGUCACUGCACUGUUCAGACCAGAACAGGACCUGACAGACAGUGUGAAGGUGGGAGGACAAAGUCAUUACUACCUACUGGUAAAACUGCUAGUCUACCCGACUGUCAGCAUAAUCAUCUAUAUCAUCAGCCUGACUUCAGAUGUCCUGUCUGUAGAAUCUUUCCAUGUUGCUCAACUUGGAACUCCUGUACUUUUCUUCAUCCUGUGGCUAAUUGCAGUCAAAAUACAGGUGGGAUUUAAACCAUUCAGAGACAUUAACAUGAUGUACAAUCCCAUAAUCCAACUUUUAUCUGUUAAUUGUGAUUUUCAGACAGUUUGUGUGACAAUUAACAACAUCUAUAUUCAUCUUAUGAUAUAUUGCAAUUGACUAUGAGCUGCUUAUCUCCAUGAAAACUGUGUUAUGCAUCAUAUAUCAUCAAGGUUAUAUUUUAAUGAACGUUUAUGCGUGUGUCUGGUCUGUCAACAAGAUACAUGUAACAUUACCUCCAGAACGGCUUAAUGGAUUGGUUUCAUACUUGGUGUAUUGGGUGUGAGCCCCCUAGUGGCUUCCAUAGGUACUGCAACAGAACUUCUGGUUUCAUGUGUACAGAACUGAUGUCACUUUUUUUUCUUCUGAUAGAGAAAUGUGCAAGAGGUACUGAAUCCAGAAGAGCAUCCGCCGAUUCAAGAGGGCAUCAAUAAUGAAAAUCAACGUCUAUUGACAGUACCUACAGACAACAUUGACUGUUAAACAGUUACUGAGAAGAAAUCAGGUCAUGACCAAGUCCAACCUGCUUUGCUUUCAAACCACUAGAGGAGGCAGAGAAGACUCAACCAUACCUACCAGAGGGGAAAAGGCAUGGCACUCUGCAUCUGAUUUCAUAUUGCACAAUGUUGAUUUAAUUAUGGAUGACAUCUGCGCACACAUCAAUUCUCAGUCAUCUAAAAAUUGUAUUUGACAAUAGUAUAAAUUGUACAGAGCUGCUUUAAAAUGAGCACAUAUAUGCCGUUGAUUGAAAAAUGAAUAUCAGAAAAUGGUUACUGAUGUCAUAGAAUGGCAAUUUGAAAGAAAAUUUUAAAGUCAAAGAAGAAUUGUGAAAGAACAAAAAUGAAGAAUCUUUAUUCAGUAUACCUAAUACUAAAUAAUCUGUGUGUUCAAGAGUAAUUCAGUGAUGUCAGGUUUAAGAUUGUUGCUCUAUCUACAUUGCAAUGAUUAACAAAGUGAUGUGAACUCACCAUAAAUAAUAAGUCUA